GUGCCUCAGGGAUGAAUGAGUCCCUUAAAUUCAUCCAUCUGUUCACUUUGUCAGCGGUCUUUUUGGUUAUUUGCUGAUCAUUAGAGGGUGGAAUAUUU
rnacentral:snoRNA from 1 species